GACGAACGCUGGCGGCGUGCUUAACCCAUGCAAGUCGAACGGAGUGGCGAACGGGAGAGUCACACGUGGGUGACCUGCCCUGCACUUCGGGAUAAGCCUGGGAAACUGGCUCUAAUACCGGAUAGUGUGGGAUGGGCCCGCGACCUAUCGGCUUGUUGGUGGGGUAAUGGCCUACCAAGGCGGGGACGGGUAGACGGCCUGAGAGGGUGGACGGCCACAUUGAGACUGAGACACGGCCCAGACUCCAACGGGAGGCAGCGGUGGUGAAUAUUGCACAAUGGGCGGAAGACUGAUGCAGCGACGCCGCGUGGGGGAUGACGGCCAUCGGGUUGUAAACUCCUGUCACCAUCGACGCGGUAGAUGGAGAAGAAGCACCGGCUAGCUACGUGCCGGCAGCCGCGGUAAUUA
rnacentral:rRNA from 1 species